UUAACUCAAAUUUGUAUGGAGUUGGAACAACGCCCCUAGCGGCAAACGUAAGCAAACGUUCCAACUCCAUACAAAUUUGAGUUA
rnacentral:pre_miRNA from 1 species